GCUGCUGAGAGCAGCCACCUUCUCGACAGGCUCAGCUCUGGCAGGCUGCGCGCUGUGGCUCCAGGGACACCCCCCCUCCGACACCACGGCCUCCUGCAACCAGGAUAGGAGGACUGGGUUGGAGAAUUGAGUGCGUGUGUGUGUGUGGGGGGGGGUCUUUUAUUUGAGUUUAGUUUAGUUUGUCUUUACUUCUGUAGAGGGCUGAUGCUGGCGCUAAAAUUGGGCAGCAGUUGGCCCCAAAGUAACCUGCGACUCGCCCCUCUCCCGUGCGUCACGCAGCAGAGGGUGGCAGUUUGGCAGUAGCUCUGGGAACGCAGCCUGGCAGGGCGUUGGGCCUCGGCGUCCAAUUGAGGCCCAGUAGCCCCGCUCGUGUGCGCCUCUUGCCUGGGGUGUUUGUGCAUUCUUGGGGCUGUGAGGGCUGCUGGGCUGGUGCGGUCCCCAGCCUCGCACUGCCCUUCCGCGCGGGGCUCGAGUAAGGACGCAGUGAAUGAAUUCAUGAAGCAGCUCCACGGCGGAGAGGUCUAAGGAAUAGCCGCCCCGGUUAAAUGGGCUGCGGGCAGCUGCGGCCGACUGCCCCCUCCCCUCCUCUGAGCAGGCGUGUGGUGGCCCGGGAGCCCCGCCAGCAGCCCCCGCCCAUCAGGCGGAGCUCGGGCCCUGGCAAUCUCUGCACUUUGUCAUCACGCCCGAGUAUUUGACAUUCGCAAUUAUCUGCAAAUACCCUGAUCGGUUUGUAUAUGAAACACUUUUUUUCCUGCCUAAAGGUUGGAAUCUGACGGCUUUGCCUUCGGGGCACUGCUAGGACCCAAGACCCGGGAGAGAAGUCCCGAAGGAGAAGCCGAGGCCUGGAGCUUGGGAACUCCUCUGCUCACCUGAACUUGAGACAUUCGAAGGCCCCAGUGAACUAUCGGUUGUAUCAGAGCCUAGGAGUGCAAGGUAGCUGCGCCCCGGCCGAGGCCCUCGAUCCUGGAGGCCGGGUCUCCGAGGGCAUCCGGAGCCGAGGUGGGUUGUCCUGACUACCUGCAGCGCGCGCGGAUCGCAGGCCGGAGAAAAGGGCGCCGUGUAACGGGGAUGGUCGGCUACCUCUCCAGGGAUCGGCCCUGACUUGUUAGUAACUUAAGCGCCUCUGAACUCGGGGACCGCGUGUUGGGGCAGCUCCCUGCACACGCACACACACACUCACACGCACACACACACACACGCACGCAUGCACCUCCUUCCUUUGCCUCGCAUCUUUCCCUCCACUCUCCUGUCUUACCCCUACCCUCACCCCCGCCCAACCGCGGCCACACCACUUAGAGGCGCGCGGCAGCCACUCGGUUUAAGGAGCCAUCGUUUCAGAUGUUUAUUCAUAGCUAAGUGCUUAUGCAGGAAAAUGCUCGUCACCCGGACCGAACGCUUCCGCCCUGCGCUGGCGGACCUCGCCGGCGGCAGCUCAUGGAUCCCACCCGCGAAGCCACGAAGGAACGGGCUUCGGGGAGGCGGCUUUGCCACCCUGCGCUCAGCCACCGGCGCUGCUCCGGAUUCCCGGUAGGGGGAGCCGCCUCAGGCGCUAGGCCAGCUCGGGUCCAGGCCUCAAGCUGGCCCUGCCGCCGGCGGCAAACGGAACGCGGAGCGCGUGUGGCCGCCUCACCUGCUCUCCAGGUGCGAGCUGCCAGUAGAGAAGGGAUCACAGGGCCAAGCCCACUAAUUCCCGGUUGCUGCAUAGCGAAGAACAUAGGCGAGACCGAAGUAUAUUCUUUAGAUCCAGAUGUAGUUAAAUAACUUUGUAGGUGACGAGAUUACCACCUUUGCCCAUAUCCAAUGGGACAUAUAUUCAUUAUAUAGAUUUCACCCCCAUCUCCCACACACCCCCCCCGCCCCCAGUGGUUAAGGACUGUCCUUAGUUCCACAAAUUUUGAGGUGAUCUAAUCCCUUCUCACUGUGUUUCCAAGUCCUUUAUUUCCGGGAGCUUUAGAUGGUCCCAGCACAAACUAGGAGCUCAGAGGAGACCUGCUGGCUUUGCUGUAGUAGUCUCACAACAGACUCUCUUUCUUUCUGACUCCAUAUGCUUAAGCAAGGGUUUGGAAGCUUUCAUUUUAAGAUAUGACCAAUGUUUAGAGAACAACCCUAUUCCAGGGUCAAGAGGAAAGCAGUUAGCUGGACUGUUAGCCCACAGACCACCACACUGUGCCCAGUGUGGCCGCACAGGAGUGCUGAGGGACCAGAGACUUCCUGGUCAAUACUCCCACAGAUAAAAGCCUGCAAGCUCUCCAAUACAAAAUCCAGCCUUCCCCCAGGAACUCACAACUACCUUCUAAGAGCUCUCCUAAUGCUAAGUCAUCAAAGUCUCUUCGGGGAACCACAAACACAAAGAAUUUCACACUUGGAAGCAAACUUAAAGACCAUCUAUUCUUACAGUUGUAGUUUGCUGGUGAGGAACUUGAGCUGAAUACAGGCAAAGAAUCACACGCCAGGUGGGAAAGCUCAAAUGCCCCAAAGUCGCCUCUUCUGACCCUCAGUCCAGUACAGUUUGACUAUGGGGCUUUAGAUAUGCACUUUACGGUGGUUAUUAUCCUUGUAAUUAUUAUGUUCCCACAUAUUUUAGGGUUCUUAGUAAGGCAUACUCCUUUAAUAAUAUAUUGAUAAUAAAAUCUUCAAGGUCUGUGUGAAAAGAGUAUUGGCUCAAAGGGAGGAAAUUUUAGAAAUGAAGUUACAUAUAGCAUUGAAGCAUUUGGGGGAAAGACUAAACAAAAAUAGUAUUGUUUUAUCCCAAUUUAAGAACAUUGGAUAUGUGCAAAUAUGUGUCUGAAUGAACAAAAAAUGUGGGAUUCCUGGUAUUAUAAACGCAUUCUUUCAAGUUGUAUAGUUUUUCUCCAAAAAUCAGAGCUAAUUUAGUGCAUUUAAGUGUUUGUUUAUAGAUUUGUAAAUGUUAAAUUCUGGUGUCAUUUUUAAGGACCAAGAGGAAAGAAUACAUACAUUUCUAAAAUCAGAUUUGAAAAAAAAUAAAAAUCUAAUUACUAAAAAGUUGAUUUAGCCACAGUAGGGACAUUUCUUGAAUGAAAUAUUAUCAGAUAAGCCUAGAAAACAUUCCCAACUAUUUUUGUAAUAAACCCUGAGAUAUAAAUGAUAUUUUAUCAUUCUCUCCAUAAUUACCCUCUGAUUAAUUUUUGAUAAGGUCAGCACAAAAAUAAUUAUUUACAAGGACACUCCACUAUUCCUAUUUUGUAUCUGAUUCACAAAGGCAAAGAGAUACAUUAUCAAAUGGAAAUGUCUCAGUCUCUUUCCAUAACUAACAUCUGAUCUUUAGCAAAUGGCAUUGUUAUGUCACUGAAAUGGGUAUUGGACAAGGAACCAAUUGAUUUAUUGAUUUCCCUUCUUCAAAGUCCUUUGGGAAUUGGGGAGAAGAAGGAAAAGCAUAGGUUGGCUGAGAUGUGCGAUACUUAUUCUAUCAUACACAUACAAAAAUUAUAUUUGGCUGAUAAAAUUGACAAUUCAGAAGCACUGCUUAUAGAAAUUCAUAAUGGAAUGACACUAAGGCAACUCAGCUCAUCAACCUGCUUACUCCCCAACCCAGUCAUUUGCCCUUCCCAUUUCAGUCUUUUAGAAGUUAAAAAGCACCAAGUUUUCAGUUAGCCUACACACAACAAUGGCAACAAGAGAAAAAGAGGAGGUUCUCUGGGAAGGGAACAGAAUAGACACGUUUGCUUUCAAACACACAAUCCCGUUAGCCCUGCUCUAGGGCCCUGUAAGCUCUGUUGUAUCCCUGAAGACUGACACUUGCUGUGGAUCUCACAAGGGGUCUCCAUGGUCCGUCGGCUGGAGUGACUUCCCACCUGGGGGGUCUGAGAGAUUCCUGUGGCCUAAACCUGUGAUGGUUCACAGCAGACUCAUGGCAAAAGAAUAUAAGGCUGCUCUGAUUAUCGUUGGUUCUGUAGGUGAGGAUUUCAAAGCCUGGCUCCUUUCAGCCUCAAUCACUGAACCGGUUUUUGAGGAGAAAGACUUUAAUCCGAGUCCUCUUAAAAAUACCAACUAAACCGCCUGGAGAAACUCUACAUUGUAACCUCUGCCUAGGAAUUACCACACACAACAGUAUCUACAGCAAAGCUGAAACUAUACGAAUAAAAACAAACCUCAGACUUCCUCUCCCUUGGCACUCCGUGUGGGUGAGCUGCGUUGAAUAACAGGGAAGAUUUACUCGAAUGCAUUCUAAACACAACUGCAUAUUACCUACUUUGUUUUUCCUGUUCCCUCCCCUACUCCAAGAAGAAUUGAACCUCUUUGCCUUCCAUAGCUUUCUAUUCAUUUAGCUCAAUCCUCUGGGUUUAGCACCAUGAUCUAGGAAAUCCCUUCCCACUAAGGUGAGUCCACGUUUCUCCACCUGUGUCUGUGGGAGUGGGUGGAAGUCUACGGUGAAGAGUUUCUCUCUCUCAUUCCCCCAGCAGAGGGGUGAGCUUCCAGAACAGGUAAUUCACUUUACCCUGGUCGUGCUCCCUCACCCUUCCUGGAGGCUAGACUCCAGGCAUUCUCUUCUCAAAGAGACAUUGGAUGGAGAGGCCUGUGAAGAAGAAUCUGGAAUACUGCCUGCACCUCUUUCCUCACCCAGAAGACUGGUGGUGAAUAAGAUGUUGGAUAGGGAGUAUGAUGGAAAGGAAAGGAGAACUCUGACCACCCUUAAGGAGGUUAUGCCAGUGUGUGCUGGGAGCUGGUGCAGGAAAGAAGUCUCUUUUUAAAAAGAUUAAACGUAUUUAAACAAUAGUAUCCAUCUUCCUGUAAUGGUAACUUUAAUGACUAUGAAAAAUUCUUAAAAAUAAUGUAAAUAUUGGGGGCAAUGAAGCAUUAUGCUUCGGAAUUUUAAACCUAUAGUGUACAUCAAUUCUGUCAUUGCCACUUAACUAGCAGUGUAAACCUGGGGAGGUUAACUUACCUCUCGGAUCCUCAUUUUUCAUAUCUGUCCAAUGGGCAUGAUACUAAUAGCUAUCUCAUAAAGCUGAGAGGAUUAAAUGAAAUGCUCUAUGUAAGUUGCUUAAAACAGCUUUUAGAACAUAGUAAAAACCUUGAGAAUGUUUACUCUAUUAUUAUGAUGUGGGAAUUCCUAAUCCAAUUGGCCUUCUCUCUUUCUCUCUUAAUUCAUACUGAAAAAUUAUUGAGUGAGCAAGGAGUUGAAGGUUAGAUCACAUUGUUCUCUUAGAUCCAGUUUUUUUUUAAGACAAAAUAAUGCAAAGGACCUUAUAGCACUUCAUCACCAGUGAGAUUUUUCUGAAUUGUAUUAAGCAUCUGUCUAGAGCCUUUUCCUCAGCUGUUUUGUACUCUUUCUUCCCCUACACUGGAGGCUCCUCCGCUGGGCAAGACGGGCAGAGGUUAGCAGGACUUUCUUCCAAGAGGUCAUUUCAGAGGACUGUGCUCAGGCAGGUAGAACUUAUCAUAUGGCCUCAGAGUUGUGAUAUUAUAUUGGUUCAGGGUAAAGAAAAAGAAAUGCAAGAUUCUUUGAUUCUUGCUACAGGGACACAGGGUGUCUUAUCAAAUGGUGAGAAGACCUAGGCUUACUAUGAGAAACAUCUCUCUGCAUUAAAUUUGCCCAGGCACCGGUGUUGUUUGUUUGCUGUUGACAAAGAAAUAAAAUAUUGCCAUUUCCCUAUUACAGUCAUCUGAUUUUAGGGAACAAAAUGGUUAUACCUUGUUGGGUUAGGCGGUAUUCUCCAUCCGGUUUAUAAAUUCCUCUGCUGUUCUCACUGUGGUCAGAUUUUUCUCUGGGUUGUGUUCUUUUAGCUACACUGAGGCCACCAGCAGCCCCAGAAGGGCACAAUGACAAAGUAGAGACUUCAGGGGCAGCAAAACCAAAUCAGAAUUCUCUUCACUUACCUGGAAGACCAAGCACAAACCCGUGGGGGCCAUGCUUGAAGCGGCCUCUCCAGCCUUUCGCAAAAGCAGAGCAGACUGUACGGGCUACCACCAAAGACCCACUUCUUCUGUCCUGCGGCUUUGUGUCUCUUUUCCUGAGGAUUUCUCAAAGUCUACACACUAGGUCAAAUCAGCUUGCGGCAGGUUGGUUAGACACCUGGCCUACCAUUGCCUUUGACUUCAGAUGUAAGUGUUCAAAUGCAGAGUCGUGAGGCCCAGGAAGAGGCUUUCGGAGGGGAAACACCCAAGACGCUGUUCUGUAUGGUUCUCUCUUUGAUUCAAUGUUUUGUCCUUUGUGAGCUCUGCCUAGAUAUCUACAUCAGUUUGAAACAUUCAUACAAUAAAAUUUCAAUGACCUUCCA